UAAAAUAAUCAUCAUGUACUGUAAAUUUUUUUUUUGAAAUUAUAAGUUUUGGGUUCUUCUUAUUGUAUUUUAUUUAUUUUAUAAAUGAUAUAUUUAGGGGACUCUGCUUUAACAAUGACUUAGGAUAAUGAUUUGUUAAAGUGUUUAAAAGCAUAUACAUACAGCAUAUACAUACAGUACUUACCAUAACUUUAUUGUAGAAAAUGUUGAUUAUCAACUCCCGCGUACCCACACUAAAGCCAAUUAUUUUCAGGUGCCCAUACGCUUUUCUGGCUCAAACUACGUUCAGUCAACUCAGAUUUUUCAUUUGACACGAUGAAUUGGCUGAGCAGAGUUUAAUAUGUUCUGUGAAUAUAUAUUUUGUUUUACCCCAAUACCUUAAGUUUUAAUUACCACAAUGCAUAAUUUUGUUUGGGGAGAAUUAUUUGAAAGCAAUAUGUUGAGUCAAUACUUAACUUUCAGUUUCCACAAUUUUUCAAAAUAGAAAUUUUUUACAGUGUACAAUUAUUGCAUAAUUUAUGUAAGGUGGUUACAUCGCGGGGGUGAAUUAUUUUCAAGUAAUUCAAAUUGAAAGGAGUCAAUUAUUCCUCUUAUACCACAGUUACCACAAACAUUGCUCUGGUGCCUAUUUUUAAGAAAUUUUAAGUUAGGUGUGCGAUUAUCAAAAAAUAAUAAAUACCCGUGGAACAUUUCUCAACCAAUCAGAAUACAGCAUUCAACAGACCCAUGGUAUAAAUCACAUUAAUGUAUUUGGCAGACACUGUUGUCCAAAGUGACUGUGCCUUCAAGGCCUUAUGUAUUUGAUAAAGUCACGUAAUGUUUUCUUUGGAAAUCAAGUAAUUGACUUUAUACCAGUUAAGCCAGUUCAUAACAUCAAAGCUGUGAACACAAACACAGAUAAGUGUGAGACUUAAUCAUCUGUUGUGAUUACUUUGGCUUUAUAUAGAGAGUUGGGAUCAACAAAUCUUUACAUUUGUCUUUGAACUACAAGAGAGUCAUGGCUUUCCAAUGUAAUCAUCCACUGGCAUGUCUGGCCAUUCUUGUGUUGGCUUUACAUGCAGAGUUCGCCAGUGCUGCCGUCACCGUUACUUCUAUAAGGGCCCAUAACCUUUCUGGCGAUGCUUUUGGAAACAAACCCGAUUCGUAUGUCAAGGUGUGGUGUGGUUCCUCAUUUGGGGGGAUGACGGAGCAUAUCCCGAAUACAUCUAGCCCUGUCUGGAGUGCACAGAUCAGCUUUCGUAACGGCAGAGUCGGUGAAACCCUAAAGCUAGAAGUGUGGGACAAAGAUAUGAUGGUUGACAAUCGCUUGGGCUAUUGUACCAGAACUGUGGUAAAGGGCACUAAUUCUGCCACCUGUAACUUCUCCAAAGGAUCUCUGUCUUUCAAAUACACAGCAUCUUAAAUCUGUUCUGAGAUGACCUCAAUUGUAACAAACUCAAGAGUAAUAAAGUAUCUGCAUUGCACAUUUGGCCUUUUUUAUUAAGAGAUUGUAUUGAUCAAAAUAUAUUUUUGGCCAACAUCAUUUCCCUUACUGUACCAUGUCUGUAAAUUAUGGUAACAAGUAACAGUACCAGUCAGAAGUUAGGGUUAUACUCUUUGUCUGACGGUGUAUAUCUGAAUGUUUGAAUUAAUUUUUUAUAGACAAAAAUUGUGUACAAAUAAAGUUGUACUGGCAACACUUUACAACAAGGUGGUAUUUGUUACAUCAGUAAAUGCAUUAGCUGGCAUGAACUAACAAUAAGCAAUAUUGUUUUUCAUCAUUUAUUAAUCUUUGUUAAUGAAAGUUAAUGCUUAUACAAUUGUUCAUGUCAGUUCACUGUGAAAAACUUUUGAUUUUAAAGCACCUUAACUGUCACCAGCCUCUUUUUAUGUAACUAUUAAACCGAUAAUAGCCUAUUCCAAAACUUAAAUAAUCUUGACAAACUAUUUAUUGUUGGAAAGCUCUAAGAGUGUAGUUUUCAUAUUCCAUCACUUUUUUGCAAAAAAAAAAAAAAAAAUGUAGUGAGAGUCAUGUUGUAAAUGGCCCAAUUUAUUACAUAUUUAUAACACUAAUAUCUUAUUCUAAACCUAUCAUUAUCUUAACAAACUAUAUAUCAUUGGAAAGCUCCAAGAAUGUAGUUUCAUAUUGCAAAACCUUUUUGCAGUAAUAAUAAUGCAAUGACAGUGAUUUAUUAAUUUGUGACAAUAGUUUGCAGAAAACCAAUGACACCAGCCUUUGUUGAUAAAAGUGUUGUUGGUGAUUUUGAUAAUAUUUUUGGUGAUUUUAACUUGGAAUUUGGAUCAAAACAAUUUGAGACUUAUGGCUUUAUUUUUUAGCAUUUUGGGCAUAAGAUGUUUAAAAAAAGUAUAGUUUUUUAAUAUGAAAUACGUUCUUUAUUGCAUUAUUUUAAUUUUUUUAAAUAAACUUAAACAACUAUUUCUUAAUUUGAUAUUAACAGACACUUCAAUGCUUUAGAAUGCAAAAAAAAAAAAAAAACUUUAAAAUGCCUUAUUUUAAAAGAGACCAAGAUUUGGCUUCUAGGCUUGUACACUCUAAAAAUGGCUGGGUUAAUUUUGACCCAUAAUGCGUAAAUAUUGGACAGAAUGGACAGACCCAAUGCUGAGUUGUUUUAACCCAACUGCUGGCUUAUUAUAGCCCAUGAUUGCAUAACAACCACCCAACACUGGGUCAUUUGAAACCCAGCAUGUGCUGUGUCUAAUAUUUACCAAUAAUGGGUCAAAAUUAACCCAGCCAUUUUUAGAGUGUAACGACUGAGGUGCUCUUGUGCAAGGCACCUUAAACCCAGUUGCUCUCUGGGUGCUCCAGUAAAGCCAUAUUUGCAAUGCCACCAUGGGAACACGUCCAACAAGUCCUGUCAUUUCUUCAUACGCCUAUGUAUGCAUAUAUAGAGCAUGACACGUCUACAUCUAGCCCUGUCUAGACUAAAGAGAUUAGCUUUCAUAAUGACAAAAAUCGGUAAAACCCUAAAGCUAGAGAUGUAGUCGACAUUCGCUUGGGCAACCAAAACUGUAGUAAAGAGCACUCAUGAUGUCACCUGUAACUUGUCCAAAGGAUCUCUAUUUUACAAAUACCAAGCAUCUUAAAUGUGCUGUUGCUUUAUCUAGUGGUGUUUCUUUUCCGCCUCCUAUCGGACAUUUAAGGUACUACACUAUAUUUUGCCAUUUACUUUCGGUUUCUCUCAGUGAACACAGUGGAGAAGGACAUGCUUGCAGUUAUUGAUUAUCAUUUAAACCUUGGAAAAUAUGUCUGUAAGGGCUCAAUUUUAUACUAAAUAGUGCCUUAAAGUGUUAGAUUUUAGUAAAGUUUAAAUCGGGAUUAUUGUUAUAUUUGUUAUAAAUAGACAUGAUUUGGGUUAUUGGUAGCUUACUUUAUACUGCUUAUUUCUCAUAUGAAUAUAAUUUCUCAAUAUGUACAUUACUUUAAAUAAUGGUAAAGGGAACUAUGUACAAAUUAAACUGUAAUGUUAAGGUGGAUGUGUAUGUACAGGUGUACAUAAUGUUCAUACAUAUUUUUUCUUGUUUGUAGUUUUACAAUAAAAGAAAUGAGAAGAACAAUCACCAGUAAAGUCACAAAGGUUAUGAAGACUGCUUUCUGGAGUUGUUUUCUAAAAGUGUACGCUAUCUGUUAAACCUUUGCUCAGGCUACGCAGUAGGUCAGGACAGAAUAUUAAAUCUAUUCUGAGAUGACCUCAAUUGUAACAAACUCAAGAGUAAUAAAGUAGAAGAAUCUGCAU